rnacentral:rRNA from 1 species
GAGAAACGCUGGCGGCGCACAUAAGACAUGCAAGUCGAACGGAACUUAGUUGAAUGUUUACAUGAGACGAAAGUUUAGUGGCGGACGGGUGAGUAACACGUGAGCAACCUGCCUUUAAGAGGGGGAUAACAUUGAGAAAUCAGUGCUAAUACCGCAUAAAGCAUAUUUACCGCAUGAUAGAUAUGCCAAAGGAGCAAUCCGCUUAAAGAUGGGCUCGCGGCUGAUUAGCUAGUUGGUGAGGUAACGGCUCACCAAGUCGACGAUCAGUAGCCGGACUGAGAGGUUGAACGGCCACAUUGGGACUGAGACACGGCCCAGACUCCUACGGGAGGCAGCAGUGGGGGAUAUUGCACAAUGGGCGAAAGCCUGAUGCAGCAACGCCGCGUGAGGGAAGACGGUUUUCGGAUUGUAAAACCUCUGUCUUUGGUGAAGAAGAAAGUGACGGUAGCCAAGGAGAAGCCACGGCUAACUACGUGCCAGCAGCCG